CUGCGGCAGGGAUAGUAGCGGAUAUCCUUUUGCUUUUCCUAAAAAUAUAUAAAGUAAUAUAACCGUGAAAAUGCCGAAAAAGGUGUAAAAAUAUAGUAAGAGUAAUAAAGCAAAAGAUAUGAGCGGAUAGCCCGGUGACAA
rnacentral:sRNA from 1 species